rnacentral:lncRNA from 1 species
AAGCAUAGGGUCACAUUCUUCUAUGAAACUUGCAGAUGAUAUGAACAGGCUUUUGGCCUCCGGUCUGUGGAAUGAUCAAGAAUGGCUAAUGAGAUUUUUCCAACAGAACAACACAAAGGCUACAUUUGGUAACAAACAACUUCCUUUAUUAGAGAGAGAGAGGGUUUACAUUGAUAACAGUAUUUUUGCUGCUCAGCAGGAAUCUGUGAACAAGUGCGAAAGUGCCAUGGAAAUCGAUUUUGGUUACAAAUAAAUUUUUGCAAAUAGUCAAAUAUGCAAAUAGGGAAUCUGUGAAUAACAAGAAUUGACUGUAUAUAGUAUAAGUAACGAAUUCAAAAUAUAAUAGAUGCUGCAUAUUGUGAUCAUUGGGGGAC